AUGCGCAGAUAUCGGGAGGAACACCAGUGGCGAAGGCGGCUCCCUGGACCGCACCUGACGCUCAGAGGCGAAAGCUAGGGGAGCGAACAGGAUUAGAGACCCUGGUAGUCCUAGCCCUAAACGCUGGAUGCUAGGUGUAGGGCUGAUGAGGCUCUGUGCCGGAGCGAACGCGAUAAGCAUCCCGCCUGGGAACUACGGCCGCAAGGCUAAAACUCAAACGAAUUGACGGGGACCCGCACAAGCAGCGGAGCGUGUGGUUUAAUUCGAUGCUACACGAAGAACCUUACCUGGGUUUGACAUGCUGGUGGUACCGAACCGAAAGGGGAGGGACCCUUCGGGGAGCCAACACAGGUGCUGCAUGGCUGUCGUCAGCUCGUGCCGUGAGGUGUCGGGUUAAGUCCCGUAACGAGCGCAACCCUUGCUCUUAGUUAUACGUGUCUAAGGGGACUGCCGGCGACAAGCCGGAGGAAGGUGGGGAUGACGUCAAGUCAGCAUGGCCUUGAUAUCCAGGGCUACACACACGCUACAAUGGCCGGUACAAAGGGCAGCCAAGCCGCGAGGUGAAGCGAAUCCCAGCAAAGCCGGUCCCAGUUCGGAUUGCAGGCUGCAACCCGCCUGCAUGAAGUUGGAGUUGCUAGUAACCGCGCGUCAGCCAUAGUGCGGUGAAUACGUACCCGGGUCUUGUACACACCGCCCGUCACGUCAUGGGAGUUGGCAACGCCUGACAGCGGUAGCCUAACCGAAAGGAAGGCGCCGACUAAGGCGGGGCUAGCGACUGGGACGAAGU
rnacentral:rRNA from 1 species